rnacentral:tRNA from 1 species
GUCAAGAUAGUUAAAAUUAUAACUAAGCUCUGAAGAGGCUUGAUUGGGGCGUUGGAUUCCCCUCCUGGCA